rnacentral:lncRNA from 1 species
GAAGGAGGAGUUUUUCUUGGGGCCAUUUCGAGACACCUUUGGGGAUUUAUGACACUGACAGAAAUGUUAACAUCACCAGUUCCUGUCAAGAACUCCAAUUUCUUCAAAGACGUUCACUAAGUUUCCAUGAACUAUUGAGAUAUAGGAUUCUAAUGGAAACCCAAAGCCAUAGCCAAAAGAAAAUUGAGGAUCACAAAUGGAAGGACAUACAAUGAAUCAAUUUGAGAAAUGUUGGAGGGGAAAAGAGAACAAGAAGAAAGAAAAAAUUUGUGAGACUAUGAAGAUGACAUGAAUAUAAGAGAUGUGUACAAACACAUCAGAGCUUGGCUGAAAAUAAGAGAUGGCACUGCUUCACUGUUG